CCAUCUCCAUUGUAUUCGCCACCUCGUCUAACUUAGAUCAAUGAAUUUGCCGACUCAUUGAGAAAGAAACAUAAAUAAAUAGGAUUCUGAAUCAAUAACAUGAUUACUUAUUCCUUACGCUAUCUGGUAAGUAGAUCAUUUUAUCUAUUUACUCUGUUUGGAACAUAAGCAUUAGAUUUUCUAGCAAAAGAUACAUUUUCAAUCUUAUUUUGUAUUUGAGAUAGAACUGGACUUGACAAUGGAUCAACCAUUAUUUACAUCAAGUAAUGCCCAAUUUAGAUUAAGAGGAACCACAACCAUAGCGUAAACACCAAUCUGCAGUCACAUAUCCGGUUGCAC
rnacentral:lncRNA from 1 species